AUGGCUGGCGCUCGGGCCACCGCCGCCGCCGCCUCGGCAGGGUCCUCAGCCUCUUCAGGCAACCCACCGCCUCAGGAGCCGGGGCUCGGGGAGCUGCUAGAAGAGUUCUCCCGGACUCAGUACCGGGCCAAGGACAGCAGCGGGAUGAGCGGCUCUAAGGUUGAGCGCAUUGAGAAGAGAUGUCUGGAGCUGUUUGGCCGAGACUUCUGUUUCAGCGUGAUUCCAAAUGUGAAUGGGGAUAUCUGCGGUCACUAUCCCCGGCACAUCGUGUUCCUGGAGUAUGAGAGUUCUGAGAAGGAGAAAGACACGUUUCAGAGCACCGUGCAAUGAGCAAGCUGCAAGACCUCAUCCACCGCAGCAAGAUGGCCAGGUGCAGAGGACGGUGCGUCUGCCCAGUAAUCUUGUUCAAAGGCAAGCACAUUUGCAGGUCAGCCACGCUGGCUGGAUGCGGGGAGCUCUAUGGACACUCUGGCUACAACUAUUCUUUCUCAGGGGGUGCAGAUGAUUCCUGGGCAGGUGUGGAGGACGUCACAGACAGAGGAUUGUGCUCUUUUAAGUGGGGACAUGCAUCUUUUUUUGAUAAGGUCAGAGGCUAUGACAUCAGGUUACUUUGGUACUUGUCAGUCAAGUACAUCUGUGAUCUAAUGGUGGAGAACAAGAAGGUGAAAUCUGGCAUGAACGUAGCCUCCUCCGAGAAGGUGGACAAAGCCCAGGGCUAUGCCGACUUCACUCUCCUCUCCAUCCCGUAUCCAGGCUGUGAAUUUUUCAAGGAAUAUAAGGAUCGGGAUUACCUGGCCGAAGGGCUCAUAUUUAACUGGAAGCAGGACUACGUCGAUGCCCCCUUGAGCAUCCCCGAUUUCCUGACUCACCCUCUGAAUAUUGACUGGAGCCUGUAUCAGAGUUGGGACCUGGUGCAACAGACACAAAACUACCUGAAAUUGCUGCUCUCCGUAGUCAGCAGCGCUGAUGACCGCGGGCUGCUGGGGCACUGUAUCUCAGGCUGGGAUCGGACCCCCCUCUUCAUCUCUCUCCUGCGCCUUUCCUUGUGGCUGCUGGACUCAUCCACACGUCUCUAGCUGAGAUCCUCUACCUAACUGUGGCCUGUGACUGGUUCCUCUUUGGGCACAUGUUGGUAGAUCGGCUCAGCAAAGGAGAGGAGGUUUUCUUCUGCUGCUUCAAUUUUUUGAAGCAGAUCACCUCCGAGGAGUUCUGUGCUCCGAAGACCCAGAGGGGGAAGAGUUUGCCAGCCCGGGACGCAGGCUUCACUGUGGAAGACAUCUGCAUGCUGAGCCGCCGGGAGCCUCACCUACGAGGCCCUGGAGCUGAUCCCGGCAGGAGCACAGACUCGGGCAGCUUGGAGGAAGAAUCACUCGUCCUCUCCACAGAGUGUGCUCUGGAACCGGCCACAGCCCUCUGAGGACCGCCUGCCUUCCCACCCGGGGCUGGUUGAAGCCAAGUCUUCCAGCUCCUCAUCUCCAAACCAUUCUGACAACGUCUUCAGGAUGGGUAGCAGUCCACUGGAAGUCCCAAACCCAGGUUUGCAGCUCUGAGUGCCCGGGAGACGCGGCUGCCAGAGGUGCGUUCAGCCUUCUUGGUCGCAUACAGCAGCCCAGUGGGGCCAUUGGGGCCAUUGGGGGCCUGCUGGAACAGUUGGCCCGCGGUGUGGGACUGCGGGGCACCAGCGCCAACACCCUGUGA